GUUGUACAAGAAGGGGAAGCUCCUGAUUGAGAUCUUGAGAUGAAGUGCAGGGAGACUGGAGUCACAGACAUAUGAGAAAAGAGCUCUGUGUAUCACAGUCUCGAAAGGACUAACAACAGAAGUUCACAGCUUCAGGAAAUCAAACUGUUGGCAGAUUUCCCAUUUCAUUUGAACUUUCCAGGAUGAACCAGAUAACAGAUGGAACUGGGGGAGAAAGGACAAACAAAUGUGAACAGUACAAAAGGAACUGUCAGAUGCAUCAUGUGAGCUUGUGACUUGUCCCAGUGUUGAGUGUCUGUGUCACAAAUAGAAAUAUUAUCACCACAGUCCACAGUCACAGCAGAGAGAUGAAAGAAAGUUGAUGGCUUGGAAACUGGUGCUCCCUCAAGUACAUGGCUCCUUCACACAAGAAUAUUAACAGUGCAGUACAGCACUGAAAUUUCCACAAGUAUUUGAUAAGUAGUCAUCGUGAUACUCUGAAGCAGAAACAAAUCCUUUUCCCCCAGCACCCCUCUCC